GAAAAAGCAGGGGCUUGUUGCCUUCGUAAGUGGGCCACCCGAAACUCCAUGGAAAAUUUUUUUAUAUUGUUCUUGGGUGAAUCUCUAGGGUUUUUUUUUGUAACAGAAGGUUCAGUAAAUGAUGGUACAUGA